GGCGGUCAUCUCUGUGUCUCUGCCUGUCUCUAUCAUGUUAUAUUUUCUUCUUGGAGUUAGAGAUUCUUUUGUUUUUUUCUCUCACCUCCUUCUGUGUUCCCUUCCUCCUUGCCCACUCUCCUGGUCCUUUCCAUUCAUCAUUCACUCUUCUGUCAAUCCAUCCACAAACAUCUAUUCCUUGCAAACAUCUAUUCCUUGUUUUAGAGAAAACAGAAAGCUGGCUGUGUGCCAGUCAAUAUGACAGGCACUUUAUAAGGUCUUUAUGAAUACUUCUUUGCCAUUUCUUUUCAACAGGCAAGUUGGGUAUCUAGGCUUCCUAUUGUUUUUUUCCAAAGGAGUGUUAACACUUUUCAUCAGAUUCUCAAUGGAAUCGGACACAAAAACAAGUUACAAUGAUCCAGAGACAAAACAGCAUCAGUAACACAGCACAUCUUCCAGUGAUUGCUGUACUCAUCUCAACUCUUCAGAUAAGCAGAGCUACGGCACUUUCCUGGAGAGAACACGCCUCCACUUCCCUCUUGACCCCUCAGGUCCUAUCCAGCCUCAGUAUACAAGGGACGGAUAUAGUUUGUGAUCCAGGACCCACCGGAGCCGGCAGGGGGGUGGCUGCUGGAGAAGAGGGUGGAAGGGCCUCCGUGAGGGCUGCACUGCAGUGUACGGGCAGGAAUGUGCCGGGGCCGACAUGCUGCCCUCUGACGGCUGCUGUGGCUCAGGGGAGAUUAGAAGAAUGUCUGGGACCUCGUCGUAGGGACGUUGGUAGCACAGAUGACAGACAGGCAAGAAAGGCAGUAUUGCUUCCUGCGUGA
rnacentral:lncRNA from 1 species